CUGGCCCGAGGAGGGAGCGUCUUCUUCGUCCCCCUCGCCUUCACGAAGUUCAGUGACAACGUCAACGACGACUCGGAUCAAGUCACGUUCGCCAUUGGAAAUUUUGCUAAGAACAUCAAGACAUCGAGGAAUAAGAGGAUCGGGGAGGUUGAUCUGUGAAAUCAUUUCUCCUAAAUACGUAGAAGUUUUUGAGUGCCAGGCCAAGAUUCACCGCUAAUUUGAGCAAUUCCCCCACGAUAAAGUUUGUUGUAUUCUUCCUGAACGCGGAAAGCUAAAGCAGUGACGACGGGGAUAGAAUCUUCAAGACGGGCUGUAUCCUGCAGAAAUGUAAAUAAUUAUCUCCAGUCCGAAAUCAGAGAAGUACCUUAAUGGUUAUACAUCGAUCAACGAACACUCGAACCAAAAAGCUCUUUUCAGGUGUCAAAGUCGUCCAGUAUUCGUCUGAAUAUUGCGUGAGCUGACUGCUGGUAGCUAAUGAAUGACCUUAAAUACUCACCUUCAAACUCUAUGUCUUGCAAAACUUCUGGCCUUGUAACAAAGAUGGACAUUAACGCGUCUUCGGCUACCUGGCUUGACAUUACAUCAAAUCUGGAGAGAAACUGGUGUCCUUCAGCCCAAUCCUUGCAUAGGCUCUAUGGCCAAGGGUGAAUAGCUCACCUCGAGCAAAUCUCCUUCGGCCAAGUCCAG
rnacentral:sRNA from 1 species